ensembl:lncRNA
CAGUAAAAGGAUCUAAUGUGAUUUUUGCCUGGGGCACCUUGCUGUGAGUAAAAUCUCAAUGGAAUUAAGGGAAUAUGCAAGGUUAAAGUCAGUCUACCAUAUUUGUGUUAUAAUGUUGAUUACUACAAAAUUAAAAAUUUUCAUUAAAAACAUGCAAAAUUAUUGUUACAUAAAAAUGUUCUUGUUUUUAAAGAUAUUGUGUCAUGAUUUAAACAACAUGCUAAUAAUAUUGUUUUUAUGGCUGUACAGCUGAACACUGUACAGCUCAAAAUUGUGACUGUUGGACUAACAAUAGGUCAUGAAUUUUUUAAUCCAAUGAUUUUUUUCUUGUAAUAUGAUCACAGUUCCAUGUCUUUCAACACCACAACUUCAGCCACAUCAGUCAGUUUCUGCUAACUGGCAGAAUCAAGGAAGUGUGAUUGAUCCACAAUCUCUUCGAGAUGUUCCAUGUCUUUCAACACCACAACUGCAGCCACAUCAGUCAGUUUCUGCCAACUGGCAGAAUCAAGGAAAUGUGAUUAAUCCACAAUCUCUUCAGGAUGAAAUCUACAAGUUAUUUGAGAAUUUAGAAAGAAGAAUCAUGUUGAAACUGGACCAAAUCCAAAACAACAUUACAUCAGUGGUUGAAACAAUGCAGCAAUCAAUGAACCAGCCAAGCACCUCUGUCUCCGAUCUCACAGAGGUGCUAGAGAAACCAUGCAAGACUGUAGAGGAAUUAGAGGAGUUAUGUGAUAAGCUGAAAGAUGCUGAAUUUCGAAAGAAGAUGAUUCGUUAUCUGUGUCUUCAGAGUGGAGGCAACAUGGGAGAAGGAAUUAGGAGGAUGCUGAAAAAAAUUGGAGAUAAUUCCUUAUGGGGAUAUUACAGUUACAAAGGGAGAAAGGGAAAACUUAAAUUUCAGCAGCUCCUCAUCAAUGAUGUCAUCAUACGUGCCUGCAGCAAGGCAUACCCAAACCAAAAAUCCCAGAGUGUGGAAGAGAUGAUUGCUGUCACCCUAAAAACAUGCCCCGGAUCGUGAAAAAACAGUUAAUCAGGUCAGAAGCCAACAGGAGCUACCAUCGGAAUAACGCAGAAACACAGCUGCUUUGCUUGACCCACCCACGCACGGAGAAAAAUUUACAAAUAAAAAUAAUUUUUAAUUUGCCUAAUAGUUAUGUCAUUUAAAAUUGAACCUGUUGUUUUUGUAGCAUUGAUCUUUAGAUGCAGUUGUUCUCUUUAUUUUUUGCUUAAAUAUACAUUAUUCAUUUUUAAUUAUACAUUCUUUUUUUCUUGCAAUCCUAUAUACAUAUACUAUACGUUGUUUUGUUCUAGUUGUAUAUAUCUUUUAUUUCUUAACAUGUAAUAAAAAUAAUAAGAAAAAAACUUUUAAAUUGUUUAAAUAAAAUGUAGCCUACUAUGUUCCAACUAUUUGCAUGUGUCUAUUUUCUUUGGUUAGCCUAAAAGUAAAAUAAAAUGACAUUUGAGGAUUUAAAGCGAAAGUCCCCUAAACGUCCCGAAUGGCCGCUGCACGUCCUAUGAACGUCCCCGUGAACGUCCGGAGGACGUCUUCGCGAACGUCCGUUCGACGUCAAGGGGGCCCUACACGCUGACGUCCGGGGGACGUUCGCAGAGGCCGUUUAGGGGACGUCCUGGGGACCUUUUUUUGUUAGCUGGGAGUAACGCGAGUAAAUGUAAUUCGUUACUUUCCACCUCUGUCUAAGCUACACAGUAUUACACCAUAUUUUAGAUUUGACACAUUUAAUAGGUGUGCAGUAUUAUUUAUAUAAUAUGAAUUAUGUGUUAUAUUAUUCAAAAUAAAUUGUGGUUUACUUUGCAUCGUAGCAUUAAAAGUGGUAGCCUAUUUUAGUGAGCUAGGCUACAUGGAUUUAUAUGCAAAAUGUCAAUAUUCUCAUAUAUUAGGCCUAUAUUUUAAUUUAUAUUUUAAAAUUCCUUUAAUAAAACAACAUGCAUUUUUGUUAUUCGUUACCUGUCCUUUAUUUUGACAGACAAAUUUUUGGGAAAAUAUAUUUGUCUGUACACUGAUUAAGAAAUUGUUGCAUGUUUUAUAAAUUAUUUUCUUUAUUUUAGUAAAACGUGAGGCACUGUAUAAUUUCGUUCCCAUUAUUUAGGCCUAAUUAAAACAAGAAACGAAUAAAUUAAACCUGCACGAUUUAGCUAAAUCAUUGAAAUUCUAAAGAAUGGACUGAUUAAUAAAACGUCUUCACGAUUAAUCUCAAGUUCUCUCAUUUUAAUCACCAAAGUGCAAAUGAUGUAAAAAAGAGCUUCAUUAAUAGACAGCUUCAGUGAUUUUAAAGGGAGCCGCCGUUACUUGCUUACAUAGAAUUUAAGUUAAAAAAAAAUAAAAUUGCUGCCGCAUUUAAAUGCAGGUGUGUAAAAUGUCUGCGUGCAAGAUUUGCGUGGCGCGAGUGAUGCUGAGUGCACGCGCAGCAUUUAUUCUUAUUUGUUUUAUCUUCAUUACAAAUCUUGUUUGGUUUUAUUUUGGAUAAUUGCAUGUAAAACAUAAUUUACGUUGUAAUGCAUAUGCAAAAUGUGAAUAAUUAUUCAUAUUUAAGUGUCUGUGCGAAAAUUAUUAAUGCGCAUGCAGGACAGGGAGGCGCCUUCUAGAUCACUUGAAUUUUUUCCUGAUAAUGAAUUAACUUAAAAUUGUGGUGUCUCACAUACAUGAGAAAUAUAUCUACAGAAAGCUUGAAAUGUCUUUUAAAUGAAUCAAUUCAGAACGAAAGCAUUAUGUAAUCUGUGAAG